UUGAAUGUUUCAAUGUGUUAGAGAGAGAACGUGUAUUUCGGACACAAUAUGGCGACCGACAAACGUCAAUGUUAAUUGUCAAACGCCGUUUGUGUUUUUUGCAAAGUUGUUUGUGUUUUUUGUAAAGUUGUUUGUGUUUUUUUGUUGUGUUUUAUGACUUUUACUUUAAAAUGCCAAGUUGUUGUGUUCCUUUGUGUGGAAAUAAAAGCCGAUUGUUUCGUCUUCCAACAGGUGUUAGUAAUAGGGUUAGACUAGAAGAGAGAUGUGGGAGAAUUUAAUAGGCCGGGACGAUUUGAACGACAACUCCCGAGUUUGCGAAUUACAUUUUUCUGAACAACAAUUUGAAGCAAAGCGAGCAGAUGGAAGGAAACUAUUGCGGCCGAAAUUUUGUUAAUAAACUGAUAUUGCAAGGUUUCUCAUCUAUAUUUUUUACUCACCCCUUAUGUUUAUCAAUGGCAUUUAAGUGCAUUGAACAAAUAACGCUUAAACAUAAAUAAAUGUUUAUUUGAAAAAAAUCUACAUUUACGCUUUGUACGCAAGUAUCGAGUCCGUUAAUUUUUAUUUAUUUAUUUUGAAUUUGGCGCGGACACAAUAUGGCGCACAAUUGCGGUACUUUAUCUAUCU